rnacentral:rRNA from 1 species
AUUGAACGCUGGCGGCAUGCCUAAUACAUGCAAGUCGAACGAAGUGGCGCGCGGGUGGGUCAUGUAUAGCUAAUCUGCCCUACACUAGAGGACGACAAUUGGAAGAGACGGCUAAUACUCCUUAGUGGAGGAUGAGGCUAUAUUGUAUCAGCUAGGUGGUGAGGUAAUGGCUCACCAAGGCUAUGACGCAUAACUGGUCUGAGAGGAUGAUCAGUCACACUGUAACUGAGACACUGUUCAGACUCCUACGGGAGGCAGCAGUAGGGAAUAGUGCUCAAUCGGGGAAACCCUGAAGCAGCAUCGCCGCGUGGAGGAUGACACUUUUCGGAGCGUAAACUCCUUUUGUUAGGGAAGCGGUACCUAACGAAUAAGCACCGGCUAACUCCGUGCCAGCAGCCGCGGUAAUAC